UACGUAGGGUGCGAGCGUUAAUCGGAAUUACUGGGCGUAAAGCGUGCGCAGGCGGUGAUGUAAGACCGAUGUGAAAUCCCCGGGCUUAACCUGGGAACUGCAUUGGUGACUGCAUUGCUGGAGUAUGGCAGAGGGGGGUGGAAUUCCACGUGUAGCAGUGAAAUGCGUAGAGAUGUGGAGGAACACCGAUGGCGAAGGCAGCUCGCUGGGACGGAACUGACGCUGAGGCGCGAAAGCGUGGGGAGC
rnacentral:rRNA from 1 species